rnacentral:rRNA from 1 species
UACGGAGGGUGCAAGCGUUGAUCGGAAUUACUGGGCGUAAAGCGCACGCAGGCGGCUUGUUAAGUCAGUUGUGAAAUCUCCGGGCUCAACCUGGAAACUGCAAUUGAAACUGGCAUGCUAGAGUCUCGUAGAGGGGGGUAGAAUUCCAGGUGUAGCGGUGAAAUGCGUAGAGAUCUGGAGGAAUACCGGUGGCGAAGGCGGCCCCCUGGACGAAGACUGACGCUCAGGUGCGAAAGCGUGGGGAGCAAACGGG